rnacentral:tRNA from 1 species
GCCUGGGUGGCUCAGUUGGUUAAGCAUCUGACUUCAGCUCAGGUCAUGAUCUCAUGGUUCAUGAGUUCGAGCCCCACAUCAGGCU